CAGUUCUUAUAUCAUUAUGAAUUUCUCUAAGCAGUACAAGUUUACAAGAGGGGCAGAAAAAUAAUAGGGUUCAUCAAAAGUUGGAGUGUUUCUGGAUUAUAGAAGGAAUAGAAGUCAAGGGCAUUGAUAAUAUUAUCAAGAGUGGUCAAAAUGGAUCUGGAUUGAUUAUAGGAAGGAAUUGAAAACCGGAGGAGCAAGAUGGAAUGGGAGGAAAGCCAGUGCCAAAGAACUGGAUCUUGAUGGGGUCCAAGAGUAGGUUUGUGGUCAUAAGUGAGAGUGAGAGCUGAGAGAUGGGCCAGGUGCAGUGAGGCAAAGGGUUAAACGUUGGAUUCCCCAGUAUUUGGAAUCCACAUGCAUCACAGUUCUAGUGAACACAGCUAAGGAUGUGGUUCCAAAUGUGAGUGGCUCUAGUAGAACAGACACAAGAGGUUAAGAGGCAACAAAAAGUUAUUGGCAGUCCACAGGAUAUAAAAGUCACCCAGGAUUUGGGCAGGAUUUGGGGAAAGGACAACUAGAAUCCAGAACAAAAGUGGAGACGACCAAAGAAGAACAAGGGAAAAGGAACUGAUUUGUACAUGACACCAUCCCUGUUUUCUUCCCCAUAAUUGCAGGCUUCAGUGGAACAUAUUUGGCUAUUUCCCAGGACCAUCACAGAUGAGAGUGAGGGGAGCACCAGCAGCUGGAGCACUACGGAGGUAAUGUAGGGACUUCAGCAAGCCCCCAGUCAACUCCAUCAGCACUCCUCCGCUGACACCAACUCACCAUCCAAGCCCACAGUCCCUGUCUGCUUUUUAUCAACUUGAUGCCAAGACCCAUUUGGAGGCAUUAUUCUGAUUGGAACUGAU